AAAUACUUCCCAAACAACAGUGUGCCUGGGUUAUGGAUCCCUUCAAUGCAGCAGCACCUGCUGAUUUUAGGUCUGCUGAGGAGGACCAGUUCAUUGACAUGACAUCUGACUCCACCCUGAGGCUCAGGUUUAAUGCUCAGACUCUUAGUGAAUUCUGUUUUGGAGUGGAGAGGGAGUAUUCACUCAUCGGGCAGAGAGCUGUGUGCAUUCUUCUUCCCUUUGCCACAUCAUAUCUCUGUGAGAUGGGCUUUUCAGCUGUUGCUUCACUGAAAACAAAGUACAGAUCUCAGCUGAACAUUGAGCAUGACUUGAGAGUGGCAGUAUCAAGCCUGCAACCCUGCUUUGAGAAAUUGUGCAAUGCAAAACAGCCUCAUUGCAGCCACUAAUGCAGGGAUAAAUAGACGUGUCUUGCCAGAUGGAUUUCACUUCUUUUCUUUUAUUAAAAGAUUGCAAAGUGGAACUUUUAUUUUUUUUCUAUUUUUGAGCUUGAUACAAAUUUUGACACAGCUGCACUUUUUUUUCCGUAUUUUUGAACUUUCUGUUAUUUGAUGUAGAUAGUUUGUAUUUAGAUACAACUUGUUACUAUACUGAUACUACUUGUUACUUCAAUAAAUUGGAACAUUUAAGAUUGUUGCGUAUUUCAUUAGCAUUGUGUUGGGGCAAUGGGGGCAGGUGGGGCUUGAAAAUUACCCCUCGUCCAAAGUGGGGAAUGACCAAAAAAG